GAUGAACGCUGGCGGCGUGCCUAAUACAUGCAAGUCGAGCGAACGGACGAGAAGCUUGCUCCUCUGAUGUUAGCGGCGGACGGGUGAGUAACACGUGGAUAACCUACCUAUAAGACUGGGAUAACUUCGGGAAACCGGAGCUAAUACCGGAUAAUAUUUUGAACCGCAUGGUUCCAAAGUGAAAGACGCUAUUGCUGUAACAUAUAGAUGGAUCCGCGCUGCAUUAGCUAGUUGGUAAGGUAACGGCUUACCAAGGCAACGAUGCAUAGCCGACCUGAGAGGGUGAUCGGCCACACUGGAACUGAGACACGGUCCAGACUCCUACGGGAGGCAGCAGUAGGGAAUCUUGCGCAAUGGGCGAAAGCCUGACGGAGCAACGCCGCGUGAGUGAUGAAGGUCUUCGGAUCGUAAAACUCUUUUAUUAGGGAAGAACAUAUGUGUAAGUAACUGUGCACAUCUUGACGGUACCUAAUCAGAAAGCCACGGCUAACUACGUG
rnacentral:rRNA from 1 species